rnacentral:misc_RNA from 1 species
CAAAUCCAGCUCCUUCAAUCUCUGAAUUCCUCUUCUCUUAUCUGUUUUAGCCGAAGGAAGGAGGUGGUUAGGCUCACGAAGCAGUGGAUCUCUCCUUCGUGAUCGACAAUGACACAGCUUGCCUACUAAAUGUGAAUCAGCCGAUGGGUUUCUUCUUGCAUCGCGAUGCAGCACGGGUAGCAACCUCUCCUUGCACAAUCAACCAUGAAAGCUUGCUUUGCGGUGGAGUGGAACGCUGUUGUAUGGUCUAACAUCAACGCAAUAGCCUUUGGGGUGAUUUUCAAAAAAGGAAAAAAAAAAUGAAAAGGAAAAAGCCUCGGGUGAUGCAGCCA